ACAAGUGUUUUCCACUACAGAGGAACGACUGUUCCCUGCUUCUGUAAGAAACGUUUCGCACUCAUAAUUUGUGUCAUAUAAUCAACUUGAAAGACACCGUCCGCUGCAAGUCUCUCCGUCUACGCGUCCGCUCACGACAAUGUCAACAAGAACAACGUAUAGAUUGGGUCGUCAAUGUCCGACCUCUAACCUCUAAUAGACGCCGGCUUGCAGACAUAGCGUAAGGAGCAGAUAUCAACAUUUCGUAAACGGUGCGUCCUACGGCUCGAUAUCCCGUGUUUCAUUUGGUUCUAGAAACCAUGAUUAACUAACCAAAUAUGCAUUCUCCUUGCUCGACUCGGCUCGGCUCGUUUAUCGUUCCGAACAUUUAGCUCUACUCCACAAUUCUGCUUUAAGCCAUAAGCAAAUUCACUAACCAUUAUUCCAAGGAUAAUCAACUGUGGUUUGUCAAUUUGCUUAUGGCUUAAAGCAAGACUGUGAGCUAGAGCUUUGGCACUUGUUACUCAUUCGCUUGUUAACAUUCAUUUAUCUUUCACUCGAUACACGAACAAAUUGUUGAGAAACGCGCCAAAUCAUGAUUUCGCGGACCAAUUAACGCGACUUGCGGGUAUUCGGCGCUUCUACGAAUCAGAACGCGUUAAAACGAAGUAGCCGAUGUGAAGUUGCCGGCGCGUCAUUUCAGUGGCGAUUAUUAAAGAGAGACAAGUGUCUUCCAUUACGGUAGGACGACAUACUUCUUGCUCCCAUAAGAAAUAUUCCGAUCUCGUAAUUUGUGUAAGACAAAUAGUUCGAAAGACACUGUCCGCAGCUAACUUCUUCGUUCACGCGUCUGUUUGCGAUCGAGUGUCGACAGCGUCUUGAUCACAGGUGUCUAACCUUUAACAGACACUCGAGUGGAAAUACGUAUCAACUGGCAGUAAAUAUCAGAACGCAGCCAGUGUGUCUUAAUCGUUCCGGGCACUACAAUCAACUACACGGGAAGAAAAGAUUUCACUACCGCAUCUAAUCAUGGUUUCGUGAAAGUGUGUUUUUGCUGCUAUAAGAUUAACAUGUCAAAAAUAAAGAUAGAAUGGAAGAAGAAACAUAGGAAUAUCCUCUUCUCUGUGCACAUUGGUUCCUCAAGUGAGAGGUAAACGACCGCACGCGAGCAAUUACAGCGAGCAACUGAGCGGAGCUACGCUGCUCUGAGACGUGCGGAGGGGAGAGGGGAGAGGUAGGGAGAGGUAGCAUGAGCCGUGCCGCGGCAUACUUUCACUUACGCAAGACGUCGUAGCGACUGGAAACAAGAACCGCUGGAAAGGGAAAAUUGUUGCACUUCCGAUGGACGUAGAAUCAUCCUUCUGUGAUGUGAGGAUCAAAUGGUGCACUCUUAUCGCGCGAAAAUAACGGCCGCACGGCAGACGAAGUUCCGGAGGAUGUAGUUUCUGCAAAACGCGGAUGCCGUACCGGAGAAUCCGGUUCGGGCCGAGCAGACUCGACUCGAAGAUUUAAACAGCAGGACAAAAUAGAGCCCGAGUUCCGCGUAUUUGGUGAGUGACAAAAUACUAAGAUUUCAAGGUGGUGUUUAGACGUGGGUAGUUCAGACAUAGUUGUAGAAAAUUUUGUAGGAAUCAAUGCGAUUUACUAUGCUGGUAGAUCUUUCCAUAUUCACACACAGAAAAAUAUCAUUCUGCUGUUGAGAAAAACAAUUACUCAGUUUAUUCUUCCUCUCUUAGCAGUAGUUAAUUUUAAUAGAGAAUAUUUACUCUAAAGGAGAGUAUGCAGGAGAGUGUGCAAGUUUUGGCACUUUUUCAUAGGAUUUUGUAAAACUUUAAUUAUUCCAAUAAAAUGAUACAUUGAUUUAAAGCUUAGGACGAGUAGAUUAAGGAUAUAAAAUCUCAAUAUUAUUCUCGUAGUCGUUUGGAAGAUAACCGGUUCAAAAAUCGCAAUCGUAACAAAUAGCAACAAAUAGCGCAAUACUGUUAUGAUUGCAAUAUUUUGGACCGUUUAUCUUUCAGAUGACUACGAGGAUAAUUACAGACAUGUAAAUCUUCAGGAUACUUAAAACAAGUAACAUUUACUUAAGUGCAGUAUAUAUUCUUUUGUGUGUUUUUGAAUAUUUACGUUACGUUA